GACGAACGCUGGCGGCGUGCUUAACACAUGCAAGUCGAACGGGCCCGCUCUCGUUUUUGGGGGAGGGAUGAGUGGCGAACGGGGGAGUAUUACGUGAGUAACCUGCCGCCUGCUCCUGGAUAACUGCUUGAAAGGGCGGCUAAUACGGGGUGUGCCCGGUGUUCCGCAUGGGACUGGUCGGGAUAGGUUCGUUUUCGUGUGAUUCGGUGGGGGAUGGGCUUGCGCUGUAUCAGCUAGUUGGUGGGGUGAUGGCCCACCAAGGCGUGGAUGGACGGCCGGCCUGAGAGGGUGAGCGGCCACACUGGGACGGAGAGACGGCCCAGCCUCCUACGGGAGGCAGCAGGAGGGAAUGUUCCGUGAUGGGCGAACGCAUGACGGAGCAAGGGCGGGUGAGUGAAGAAGGAUUGCGGUCCGGAAAGCUCUGUUGUUAGGGAAGAAUGAAUAUGUAGUAAGUUGACACGUGAGUGACGGUACCUGACCAGAAAGCCACGGCUAACUACGUG
rnacentral:rRNA from 1 species